rnacentral:lncRNA from 1 species
AAAACUCCCAUUGACAAAGUUCCCAAGAGUAUGCUCCUCUAUCAUUACGUUCAACAUUGCGGAGUCCAUUAUUUCUGUCCAGUUACCCGAUCUUACCCUGGUUUUAGUUGAUUCUUGCAUAGAGCAAUCUAAGCUUUGACUGUCAGUAGAGGGAACAUCAAUAAAUGAGCCCUUGUUUUUCAAAUUAGGCUGCAGCGACUUUUUUAGAGG